UCUACGGGAGGCAGCAGUGGGGAAUAUUGCACAAUGGGGGAAACCCUGAUGCAGCGACGCCGCGUGAGCGAUGAAGGUCUUCGGAUCGUAAAGCUCUGUCCUAAGGGACGAUAAUGACGGUACCUUAGGAGGAAGCCCCGGCUAACUACGUGCCAGCAGCCGCGGUAAUA
rnacentral:rRNA from 1 species